rnacentral:rRNA from 1 species
GACGAACGCUGGCGGCGUGCUUAACACAUGCAAGUCGAACGGUGAAGCGCCUUCCUUUUUGGUGGGUGUGGAUGAGUGGCGAACGGGUGAGUAACACGUGAGUAACCUGCCCCCUUCUUCUGGAUAACCGCAUGAAAGUGUGGCUAAUACGGGAUAUUCUGGGUCUGUCGCAUGAUGGGUCUGGGAAAGAUAUUGUUUCGGUGGGGGUGGGGCUCGCGGCCUAUAGGCUUGUUGGUGGGGUGAUGGCCUACCAAGGCGGUGACGGGUAGCCGGCCUGAGAGGGUGGACGGUCACACUGGGACUGAGACACGGCCCAGACUCCUACGGGAGGCAGCAGUGGGGAAUAUUGCACAAUGGGCGCAAGCCUGAUGCAGCGACGCCGCGUGAGGGAUGGAGGCCUUCGGGUUGUGAACCUCUUUCGCCAGUGAAGCAGGCCUGCCUCGUUUGUGGGUGGGUUGACGGUAGCUGGAUAAGAAGCGCCGGCUAACUACGUG